CUGCCAUACUAAAACACACGUGAAAAAUGGCAAACAAGUCCAUAUGUAUGAAGCCCGACCGUGUAUGUUACCCCCCGGCUUCUAAUGCUAUCAUUUGGAUCCUAUGCUUCCAAGCUAGCCCUAUAUUUAAAUAGUAGUUGCAAUCUUUUACUUUCUCUUUUAUACGUGUGUUAAGUGUUAACCAGAGAUUUCAAUUUCGUAAUCACAUUGGACGAAUCACGACAGGAGAAUAAACUCGGCAUAUUCCAUCGAUUAACCUAUAUAUGGAUGCUAUACUGCUCUAAUUGUGGCUACUAGCCAUACAAUCUA
rnacentral:lncRNA from 1 species